rnacentral:lncRNA from 1 species
CCUUUCGCCAUGCGCUCCUGGCGGGCCGGACAUGGAGGCGGGAAGCGGCACCGGGACCACGUUAAGAGUGGCCGGGAACCGCGUUGGGACCGCUGCGAGCGGCUCCUCGCAGAAAGAUGGCUUGAAGUAAAAAAGAGCCUGGCUUUCCAGAUGAAGGUGACAUAGGGAGUAGGCUGCUCUUUGGAGAUGGCCCUAAUGUGAAGGUGAUGUUAUAGCUCUCCACAAGUCCUGCAGAAGGCAGUGAGACAGCAAAAGCAGGAGAUUCCUCUGGGUGUUUAUGCUGAGAACAUCUUGUCUGAGGAAGAAGCAAUCCAGUAAAACACGUGCGUGAGCUUGGGGACUAGUGUUUGUAAAGACCAUGUCUUUUUCUGCCCUAAAAUGUUAAGAAAUGAUAACAGUUACACUGUUUUGAUGACACAUACAUUAAAAUCCGAUCUCAAAACAAA